rnacentral:misc_RNA from 1 species
AAUCAGCCAUCAUGUGUCACAGCUAUUAGAACAGAACAGCAACAUUUACACAGUCACAGUGUGGUCUGUCUGAGUGAUGAGGAACUAUGGACAAAAAAUCAGAAUAAUAUCAUGAAACUCUUCAACAUCGAAGGAAAACUAUCAAAAUCAAUCAAAACCAUAUCAGGAAACGUACCAGAAGGCAUAGCAGUGACAAAGAAUGGAGAUCUUGUUUACACUGAUUCUAAUGAAAAAACUGUGAACAUUGUGAAGAAUGACAAGAUAGAGUUAUUGGUAAGCCUAUGCGGUUGGAUACCUCUUGAUAUAUGCAGUACCUCUUCUGAUGAUUUUUUUGUCAUCAUGAUCAGUGAUGAUAAUCAAAAAACAACAAUUGUGCGUUACUCUGGCUCCACUGAGAUACAGUCAUUUGAUAUUCAAUUGAUGAAUGACUGUUCAACGACGAAAGAAAAUAACAUUAAACACAUAACCGAGAAUAACAACUUUGAUAUCUGCGUGGCUGACUAUAAUGCCAAAAUGGUUUUUGUGCUAAACAAGGUUGGCAAGCUCAGAUUUAGGUACACUGGGUGUUUAUAUUGUUACAGGACAAUAUUAAGUCCGAGUGGCAUCACUCCUGAUAGCCAAAGUCGAAUCUUGAUCGCAGACUAUAACAACGACUGUAUUCAUAUUAUAAAUGAAAAUGGGCAGUUUCUCUGCUGCAUUGACAACUGUGAUUUACGCUAUCCAUGUGGUUUAUGUGUAGACACAAAAGACAAUCUGUUCGUGGCUGAGGGUGACACCGGUCUUGUGAAGAAAAUCCAAUAUUAUACGUGAAAAAUACUAUUUAUACAAACAGUGUGCAUUUGUGCUUGUUUUUGUGAGAGUUCGCGCGCAUGCAAUUUUUUUGUCUUUGGUGUGUUGAAAAAACAAAAGACAAAUGCAGUGAUACAUGUAACUGAUUCAUGAAACUUGCAACAAGUAACAUGAUAUCGUUUUUUAACUAAUGAAACAUGCAAUAAAUGAUUUUUUGAUAAAGAU